GCAAGGGGGGCCUCAUAGUCUAGUGGUUAGUGUACUAGCUCGCUAAGCGUGAGGUCGUGGGUUCGAGCCCCACUCAUGUCAAGUGCAUGGCCCUGCAAGUUUUUCGGCGCUCGCGCAUAUGAUGUGGCAGCCCCACUUCUGAGAUAGGUUGCACUCGGCUAAUCACCGGAUCGACCGAAAAAAUAGCGAUUACAGAAACAAACACAAGAUCAGUAAACAAUCACCCAACCAACCCGACGACGACCCUCCGCUUCUCGCAACGGAAAACAACUAAGGAAAGAACGAGACAGCAUAGUUAGGAUGGCCUUGGAGUGAAACCCGCAAGGAAGCAGAAGAGUGGGACGCCCCAAGCUAACCUGGCGCCGAUCAAACAUUACGCGAACUCUCUGACAAUAACAUCACCUUGGCAAAAGAGAACAGGGCAGAAUAGGGUCCGGUGGAAUGCACUUGUGGAUGCUCUAAGCUCCCAAGCGGAGCAAUAGGAUAAACAAAAAAACAAAAAAAAAAAUUGCAAGGAAUUGGUUAUAUUAUAAAAUUCCCAUUAGGAUCGGCAAACUCUAACCGAUGUUUCAAAAUAUAUCCUAUAUCAACCGGAAUAUCUUAUCAAUAAUGGGAUAACAUUCAAAGGCUGGUCGCGCCGGUGAAGAAGGGAAGUUUGGGCAUCGACUUCCAAAACGGGACCUACUAUGGGACCUCCGAACGGCAUGCAAAGCCAGACCUUAGGAUCGUGCUCCUCACAAAUCGGUGCGGUCCCUAAGGAAAAGCCGCGGUCCGAUAGUGUCUCACUCCACACACCAAAAAGGUUCCUAUAAAGGUUCCAGGAGAAGAGCAGCCUUCAUUCUCAUGAUCAUGGGAGUUACGCUAGAGCCGAAAAAGCACCUUAAGCUCUGACACAAAGGAGAGGAGUGAGUAAAUUUUCGAUUUUAUCCUCAGCUUUAAGCUUCUGGUGGCUCAGAGCCCACCUUUAUCGUCAGGAACAGAAGAGAAGUCACCAGCCUUGACAAACAUUUUU